UUCCGGUUGAUCCUGCCGGACCCUACUGCUAUCGGGGGAGGACUAAAACAUGCAAGUCGUGCGUCUCCAAGCUAUGAUGGAGACGCGGCGUACAGCUCAGUAACACGUGGCUAACCCACCCUUGAGACGGAGACAACCCCGGGAAACUGGGGCUAAUCCCCGAUAGGAGAAGACACCUGGAAGGGGUCUUUUCCCAAAAGGCGCUUAGAUCAUGCUUCUAGACGUCGCUCAAGGACGGGGCCGCGGCCGAUCAGGUUGUUGGUGUGGUAAUGGCUCACCAAGCCUAUAACCGGUACGGGCCGUGAGAGCGGGAGCCCGGAGAUGGGCACUGAGACAAGGGCCCAGGCCCUACGGGGCGCAGCAGUCGCGAAAACUCCGCAAUGCGCGAAAGCGUGACGGGGCUACCCCGAGUGCCGUCCGCUGAGGAUGGCUUUUCCCCGGUGUAAUGAGCCGGGGGAAUAAGGAGAGGGCAAGUCUGGUGUCAGCCGCCGCGGUAAUACCAGCUCUCCGAGUAGUAGGGACGAUUAUUGGGCUUAAAGCGUCCGUAGCCGGCUUAGCAAGUCUCCUGUUAAAUUCAGCGACCUAAUCGUUGAGCCGCGGGAGAUACUACUAGGCUAGGAGGCGGGAGAGGCCGACGGUAUUCCCGGGGUAGGGGUGAAAUCCUAUAAUCCCGGGAGGACCACCAGUGGCGAAGGCUGUCGGCUAGAACGCGCUCGACGGUGAGGGACGAAAGCUGGGGGAGCGAACCGGAUUAGAUACCCGGGUAGUCCCAGCUGUAAACGAUGCGGGCUAGGUGUUGAGGUGGCUACGAGCCACUUCAGUGCCGCAGGAAGCCAUUAAGCCUGCCGCCUGGGAAGUACGGCGCAAGGCUGAACUUAAAGGAAUUGGCGGGGAGCACACAAGGUGGUGAAGCUUGCGUUUAAUUGGAGUCAACGCCG
rnacentral:rRNA from 1 species